CUAAUAUUUUCUUAGCCACGUUUGUUCUUUAGUUUCUUUUUUACUAUUAUGGCUUAUUUUGUAUUGAAGACAUGGUACUGAUAAUUUAUCAGAGACUCAAGAACAAUGACUAUGUGUGUCCUAAGCCAGGUGGCUUAAAGAAUAGAAGUGUAUUGUCUCACAAUCUGAGAUCAGGCUGUCAACAGGGUUGGUUCCUUCUGAGUGCUGUGGGGGAGAAUCUGUUCCAUACUCUCUCCUAGCUUCUGUGGUUUUUGGCCAUCAUUGGCAACCUUGGCUUGUAGAUACAUCACCCCAGUCUCUGCCUUCAUCUUCAUGUGGUGUUCUUUCUGUGGGCUUGUCUGUCUGUAUUGUUUUCCCCUUUUUCAUAAACCACUAGUCCUAUUGUAUUAGGGCCCACCCUGAAGACCUUAUUUUACUUUGAGUAUCACUGGAAAGACCCUAUUUCCAAAUAAGGUCACAUUCUGAGGUACUAGGGAUUAGGAUUUCAAAAUGUCUUUUUGUGGGGCACAAUUCAACCCAUAGCAGUGACCUUGAGGAGGUCCAAGUAGCAGACAUAUUUGUCACACCUCCCAGUUUUCGUUAUCAACAUUGGCACAUUUAAAGUAUUGGUGUUUGGAGGGAGGCUUAUAGGAGGAAAGUUGGCUUUUAGAAGAUCACAUCAAGGUAAACAACUAGUUCUAUAUUCUUUUUUUGCUGUUGCUUAGGAAAAUUUUAAUUUUCCUUUUCUUCUGUAGAAAGUAAAAUAUCAAUUCUGGAUAUUUUGUUACAAGAUUAUCCUAGUUUUUAGAGAGCUCAAUAAUACUAACACCUCAUGUAUUUCAGGCUGCUUCAGGUCUAAUUCAACCAUAAAUUUAAAUGGUUGAAAUUCUGAUUAAUUGACAAGUUAAGUUGAGAGGUAAGGAACAACUAGGAUACCAUCUACUAUGGUGUGUAGGCAAGUGCUCCAGAUUGUGAUUUCUUUGAGUAUCUGGGGUCGUAGGGAAUAAUCACUGUGCCUGGGUAAGUCAGGAAGAGAUCAUAAAUGACAAAGAAGUCACCCUUGUAAGGAUUGAGUAUGUAUUAGCAGAGAUGGAUUCAUCUGAAAAUGGUACUAGAUGGUGGGUGCCUGCAUCAGUAUUAUUUCAGUAUAUUUUUACAUCAAGAUAGUUGAGUAAGAAAUGUCAUGUGAUUAAAUCCAAGAGGUAUUUAUUGACCUGUAAUUUGCCAGACACUGCUAAUCCCUUGUGCUACAAAAAUGAGUAAGAACGACUUAUUGGUGCACACAGUCUGUGAAAGAAACAGAACUGCAAACCUGUCAUUCUAAAAUAAUAGGUACUAAGGGACUGAAUCAGUAGAAGUUCUUCUUGUGUACACCAGAGAAAAGUGACAAUUGAGUUGAUGCUUGAAAAGUGACAAUUGAGUUGAUGCUUGAAAAGUGACAUAAUGGAAAAGUGACAAUUUUGAAGAAUCACUAAAUUGGGGAGUAAAUGGAAAGAGAAGGAUUAAUAAUAGCUUUAGUGAAAAAAGAGGAUAAAGUGAAGUUGAUUUGUUUAUGAUUUUAGAUAGGGAUAGGAGCCAAUAGAGAAACAAAGAUUGGAAAUCCAGAGAAGAGAGUAAUUGGUAAUGCAGUGUUCAACAGGAGUCAGGAGGGAGUGGAAUUAGGAGUACUGGUUUGAAGAAGAGAGGAAUUAUCUUCUGAGACUGGAGAGAAGAGAGUAAAUAUUUCAUUCUCAAAAACUCCUUGGGAUAAUUGGGUUUUUUCUUGUGCCCACUUUUUAAGAGUAACACUUGAAGUAAAUCUUUUUGUUUAGUAAGGCACUAAGGGAAAAGUCAAAUUAUGAACCUUCAGAGGAAAUAGAACGAUGACCUAAUCUUGCAUAUUCUUAGGGGUAGAGAAGAUGAAGUCCAUGUCACAGCUUGCAGUUUUGUCAAGACGGUGGAAGCCUUCAGAGAUGAAGUUGGAUCCCUUCCAGGAGGUUGUAUUGGAAAGCAGUAGUGUGGACGAAUUGCGAGAGAAGCUUAGUGAAAUCAGUGGGAUUCCUUUGGAUGAUAUUGAAUUUGCUAAGGGUAGAGGAACAUUUCCCUGUGAUAUUUCUGUCCUUGAUAUUCAUCAAGAUUUAGACUGGAAUCCUAAAGUUUCUACCCUGAAUGUCUGGCCUCUUUAUAUCUGUGAUGAUGGUGCGGUCAUAUUUUAUAGGGAUAAAACAGAAGAAUUAAUGGAAUUGACAGAUGAGCAAAGAAAUGAACUGAUGAAAAAAGAAAGCAGUCGACUCCAGAAGACUGGACAUCGUGUAACAUACUCACCUCGUAAAGAGAAAGCACUAAAAAUAUAUCUGGAUGGAGCACCAAAUAAAGAUCUCACUCAAGACUGACUCUGAUAGUGUAGCAUUUUCCCUGGGGGAGUUUGGUUUUAAUUAGAUGGUUCACUACCACUGGGUAGUGCCAUUUUGGCCGGACAUGGUUGGGGUAACCCAGUGACACCAGCACUGAUUGGACUGCCCUACACCAAUCAGAAGCUCAGUGCCCAAUGGGCCACUGUUUUGACUCGGAAUCAUGUUGUGCACUAUAGUCAAAUGUACUGUAAAGUGAAAAGGGAUGUGCAAAAAAAUAAAAAAAAAAAACAAAAAAAGCUAACCUUCUAUUAGAAAAGGGGACAGGGGAAUGAGUAAACUUCUUUUAUUGCAGACAAAUGUGCACAUAGCCGCUAGUAAAACUAGCCUCAAACAGGAUGCUCAUAGCUUAAUAAUAAAAGCUGUGCAAAGGCCAUGAAUGAAUGAAUUUUCUGUUUAUUUCACUGAUACACACAUUACCUCAUUGACAAUUCAGAAGUAAAUCCAACGUGUGUUGACUCUUGGAAAGCAGCAAAAACAGGAGCUGAAGAAAAGAAAUUCUUAGAACCAGCCAUAACCCAGUAAGGAAUUGUGAAGUUGUGUUUUUAUUUUGUUUCAUUUUUUGCAGAGUAUUAAGAACAUUAUUCUGGAACAUCAGAACGUUUCCCUUAGACCGAUCCCAGCAGGUGGCAGCUCAGAUUGCUGCAGUGUUGUAAUUAUAACUGAUUGUACUUAAGUUAUGGAUGUAGAGAAUAUGUUUCAUUCAUUUAUUCAGCAUGUAAAUAAAAUUGAUCCUGUUGAGUUAUCAUAA
rnacentral:sRNA from 1 species